rnacentral:rRNA from 1 species
CUUCUAUUGCUCGGAAGCCCUUAGGGGAGGGCUUAAGGAACGCCACUCGGAGAGAGGAGAUAGAAAGGGGCCGCUGGUGACUUCAGCUAAAACCGCUCCUAGGGAGAACGGAGGGGAACCUAUCCCAUAAAGAGGGAGAUCUAGACCGCACAUCCGGUAGUCUCUCUGCUAUCGUCCCUAACGACGGUACCGGUUCAGGAUUUGAAGGUUGCUCUCAGAGAAAGAAGGCACGACGUUUACCUCCGAUGAUCGCUGUCCUGGCGGUACCCAUCCGGACCCUUAAUGUCCGCACCUCCUAAAGACCCGUUCGGUGAGCAAGGACCCGCACGGACACGGUGACGGCUACACCUAAAUCGGAACGACUUUAAUGACUCGAGAUAGGGGGUCCAUUAAUCUCGUCGUACUGGUUGGUAACGGUUUAAGGAAGGAUUCACCUCUUCAAGGGUUAGGGAUUCUAGUUCCUUACUUCUAUUCGAAAAGGUGAAACAACAUAGUUCAUUAAAUUGAAGGGUCAAGUGAGAUUUAAUAACACAUAACCGUUGGACUUAAUAGAUAAAAUGUUUUUUCGUAUAUAUGUGAAGACAUCAAGAUACUCUAGUUACCUCGUUCUUCCCGUACGUCAUAACAGAAGACAGCGAACCUUUAUGAUUAACUUUUUUCUAUACGUCGUAAUCAUUAUAGGAAGAGUAUACACCAGGCUCUGAGGCUCCCUCUGCGGGUCAUUACUCACAUCACCAGGAACAUCUAUCCAAAAAGUACUGAAGUUGUACGCGGAAGGUAGAGUAAUGAUACACAAUGGGGUUUUAGGAUACUCAAGUAUAUGCUCAAAAAUUAGAGACGUUCAUUUAAAACUAUAACACAUUCCAGACAUACUAAUCUUAGGGUACCCUUUGACACAUUAGAGAACAUUCUGUUAUACGUACUCAAAUCUGAGUAUAUGGAUUGGACGUAUUAACGACCUUUAUAAAACUUGUUCAAUAUAGAGUAAAAAUAGAAUGAAUCAAAUCAAAACGCCGCUCCGUUUAGGAUGUACUGUGAGUAUCAGCUGACCUGUGUGGUACAGCACGUGACCGGGUUGUACCAGUCUCUACUCUGGCUUGCCAGCUUCACCUCGGCCUCUGCUACACCGGUUUAGCAUGAAAUCACGUAAUAUAACAGAGAACCGUCAGAAUCAAAGGGGAGUCAUUUACUAUAUACCACAAAUACAACUUAUGACAAAGUAACAAAGCUCCGUGUGGGCAAUCUUGUUUAAGACAUUAAAUCAUUACAAAUCCCGUAAUACCAACACUCAUCAAUAGAGAAUCAAAUUGCUUAUGCACAUGAAAACGGAACAACGGUGGACGCUUUACUUUAUAACAUCAAAUUGUGAAGACAGUUUAAAACGAAUCAUCAAGGGGACAUCAAUAAACUAAGAAUAAACUGGACGUAGUAACGUUCAUAAAUAAGAAUUGUUAAAAGGAAAAAACAGGCAAGUUACCCUUCGGUCUUCUACAAGAUAUAGGUUUUUGUUAACCUGUUCCAACAUGGAAGUCGUCACAAACUCAUUUACGACAGUCAAAACAGUUAUCAACCUCUUCUAUAAUAGUAGUUCGCGCGCGUGUCAGGAUACGAUCCUUUCUCUUGACCCUAACCUUACCCUACAGGGUUAAAGAAACGGCACCCCGGUACCUUUAGACUCAAGAAGGAGAAGAAAACUGUGUACUCUGUACGGAACACCUCGAGAAAAAAGUACUUGACGUAGAACCGGGGAGACACACCGUUUCAUAACAAACCUUAGACGAUGUAACACCGGUAAAACACCGGUGUAGUCUACGAAGAGAACUCUCCGACCACUAUUAAAACCCAACAGAGGACUUUAGACCAGUUUUUGAACGGAAGAGUGUACUUUUCCUUAUGUACUUCUACAAGCGACAACUUUUGGUAAAAAAUAAGCAGGGAUUUGAUCUAAAAUGUGUCAAUAUUACGUACUUCUAUAAGUAACAACUUUCGUAAAAAAUAAGCAAAAUGAUACCAGACGAUACGAGCUCACGAACCGUCCUCGUGUACUCUUCCUUUCUCCCUCUAACUAUAGCGGUAGAACUCAACAAAAAAUUAAUCUUGUUAACAACUUAUCAAACAGACAUAUAAUGAGGGAGACAAGGUUAGAUAUUCCACACGUACGAAAAGCUCUAAUACAAACUGGUACUUAAAGUGGUUACUUUCUACCCGGUACGUAUUGUUUAUUAUAUAGUAACUAAUGUAUAAGCUUUCUUAAACCUUACUGUAUUAAAAGUUUAGUAUCCUGAAUAUAUAAUAAAACACAUUAACUGGCAGUUUCAAUUUAGAGUUUUUCGUGCGUAUGGUAAAUAACCUCUUGGCUCCCUAAUAAAUAAUAGGGAACCUCAUCCUUUUUUUACAGUGAUACUAAGACGAGCGCUACGUUUCCUUUCGGUCUGUACUGGCACUACCUUGUACUAUCGUUUCAAAUUGUGGGUUUAAUGCCUUCUCUAUUUCCUAGUGAUUUCUUAAGGGUACGGUUCAAAUUGGGAACUUCUUUACGUUCCCUUCUCGCGUGUGACCUCUCACACCGCCGACUCAAAUGGUGGACUCGUCUCCGUUCGUAACGAUCUAGCCGUAUUCCGCUUGAUGUUGUAAUCCCCUCUAUGGGAUACAUUUAUACAUAGACUUAAUGAUACUCGAUCCUACCAAAGAAAACAUGAAAGUCUACAUUAUAAGUAGUUAAAAGAAAACUGUACGAUAGCUACACUUAAUAAACUAGUAACCAGAAUCAUGAU